AUUGAACGCUGGCGGCAUGCCUUACACAUGCAAGUCGAACGGCAGCACGGGGGCAACCCUGGUGGCGAGUGGCGAACGGGUGAGUAAUGCUUCGGAACGUGCCUAGUAGCGGGGGAUAACAUAUCGAAAGAUGUGCUAAUACCGCAUACGAUCUACGGAUGAAAGAGGGGGAUCGCAAGACCUCUCACUAUUAGAGCGGCCGAAGCCUGAUUAGCUAGUUGGUGGGGUAAUAGCCCACCAAGGCGACGAUCAGUAGCUGGUUUGAGAGACCGACCAGCCACACUGGGACUGAGACACGGCCCAGACUCCGACGGGAGGCAGCAGUGGGGAAUUUUGGACAAUGGGGGAAACCCUGAUCCAGCCAUGCCGCGUGAGUGAAGAAGGCCUUCGGGUUGUAAAGCUCUUUUGUCCGGAAAGAAAUCGCUUAGGUUAAUACCUUGAGUGGAUGACGGUACCGGAAGAAUAAGCACCGGCUAACUACGUGCCAGCCGCCGCCGUAA
rnacentral:rRNA from 1 species